CCUACGGGUGGCAGCAGUGAGGAAUAUUGGUCAAUGGACGCAAGUCUGAACCAGCCAUGCCGCGUGCAGGAUGACUACUCUAUGAGUUGUAAACUGCUUUUGUACGAGGGUAAACCCCGAUACGUGUACUGGGUUGAAAGUAUCUUAUGAAUAAGGAUCGGCUAACUCCGUGCCAGCAGCCGCGGUAAUACGGAGGAUCCGAGCGUUCUCCGGAUUUAUUGGGUUUAAAGGGUGCGUAGGCGGUUUGAUAAGUUAGAGGUGAAAGGUCGGGGCUCAACCCCGAAACUGCCUCUAAUACUGUUGGACUAGAGAAUAGUUGCGGUAGGCGGAAUGUAUGGUGUAGCGGUGAAAUGCUUAGAGAUCAUACAGAACACCGAUUGCGAAGGCAGCUUACCAAACUAUAUCUGACGUUGAGGCACGAAAGCGUGGGUAGCAAACAGGAUUAGAUACCCUGGUAGUC
rnacentral:rRNA from 1 species